AGAGGGAAGAGCCCAAGAUUGAAAGCUGGCGUCUUCGGCGUCCGCAUUGUAAUCUCAAGAAGUGUUUUCCGCUUCGGACCAAGCCUAAGUCCCCUGGAAAGGGGCAUCAUAGAGGGUGAUAAUCCCGUACAUGGCUUGGAGCGCCCGAGGCUUUGUGAUACGCUUUCUAAGAGUCGAGUUGUUUGGGAAUGCAGCUCAAAAUGGGUGGUAAAUGCCAUCUAAGGCUAAAUAUUGGGGAGAGACCGAUAGCGAACAAGUACAGUGAUGGAAAGAUGAAAAGAACUUUGAAAAGAGAGUUAAACAGUACGUGAAAUUGCCAAAAGGGAAGGGUAGGAGGUCAGAGAUGCGUCGCAGGAUUCAGCCUUGCUUUUGCUUGGUGUUUUUCCUGCGUUGCAGGCCAACGUCGGUUUUGGGCACUGGAGAAGGGUAGGAGGAACGUGGCACCUCUCGGGGUGUGUUAUAGCCUCCUACUGGAUACAGCGACCGAGACCGAGGAACGCAGCGUACUCGUAAGAGCGGGCCUUUUGGCACCUUUACGCUUAGGGCGUUGGCAUAAUGGCCCUCUACCACCCGUCUUGAAACACGGACCA
rnacentral:rRNA from 1 species